AAGUGCCAAUAGGCACCAAUCAAUUCAGAAAGUGGCGAAAUCACCACACAAAGCCACAAGAGACUUCUCUGAAAGCAGAAGGUGCCGACACAACCACAAGAAGCUAUUGCUGAAAGAAAAUUUGCCCAGAAAUUGAAGAGCCCAACUCCAAAAAUUCUCACAAAUAGCGAUGGAAAUCGCACACCAAAGAUUAAGACUACAGAGACUAAAAUCAGAAUGUACAAGUCUGCA